rnacentral:lncRNA from 1 species
UUUGGCUAAUUUCUCCCCUCUGGCAUGGUUAUUUUGUUGGCCCGUUGGCCCUUGUCUGUUUGUGGCCCGUUGGCCAUUGACCGUGAUUUUCAAAUGGCAACUGUUAUUACUAAAGAAACUUAUCAUAUUUUGUUUUUUAGUGAAGUGGCUUUGGGCUGCAAAAGACACCGGGCGUGUGGAGGCAGUCGUUGGGCCAUACAAAUUGUAUGACUCUUCUUUUCGCACACUGGAGGACAGUGGGUGGCUUUCUGAUGAGGUAAGUGAAGUAAUCAUUUUUGGUCCUAGUGGUGGUCUGUAAAAAUAAUCUUCUUUUAAUCCAAACAGGUCAUUGAUGGAUACCUGCACUGCCUCAUUAGGAAACAAAAGGCAAGUAAGAACGUAUGCCAGUUAUUUCACAAAAGCAUUUUAUACAAUUAUGUAAUCUUUUAAAAAAACCUCUUGCAUUUUUCAGGAACCCGUGUAUCAGUUGUCUUGCGUUGUUGCAACCUCUGUUUUCUGGGAAGUUUAAAUGUGUCACCAAGGUAAUGUAGAUGUUAUAUAGGUCAUAUAGUGCAUGUUAUGUAAAUGAAUCUAAACCUUUAUAAACUUAAAAAUAUUCCACAGAUGUUGUUUCUAGCUGAGGACAUUUGGUUGUGCCCACUGAACUUCGGUGCACACUGGAUCCUUGUGGUACAUUGUUCUUUUUAGCAGCAUAUUCUUAUUUUGAAAAUGCUUACAACUGAUUAUGUUUACUUAAGUUAGUGUACUACACAUAUUCUACUAAAUACCAUUUUUAUUUUAGGUUGUCAAACCUAUUUUAGGUUUGACAACCUAGUGUGGAAAAUGGAGACUCUGCCACACAACAAGCAGAUGGACUCCAGCAGUUGUGGAGUUUUAGUGUUGAAGGUAUUUAAUAAGCCAUUGUAUUUAAUUGUAUUUAUUGUAUUUAACUAGAAUUAAGUUAAUCAAUUGCAAUUACUGUAACAUAUUUUACAGUUUGCCGAACACUACCUUAUGAGUGGAGAGGUUACUAGGGUGCUGUCCACUCCAGAAGCCAUUGGGCUGCAACGCACAGAAAUUGCUUGCGAACUGCUAGAACAUCAAAGUAAUGCUGAUGACUACUGUGUGGUUUGUUCCAUGCUGGAAGCCGAUCCUGAGUCCAGUAUGAUUGAAAUGGUGCAGUGUGACUUUUGUCUCAGAUGGGCACAUUUUGGAUGUGCUCAAUAUGAGAGCAGCCUGGUCAAGUACUUGUGCGACAAAUGUGCAUAA